rnacentral:rRNA from 1 species
AACGAACGCUGGCGGCAUGCCUAACACAUGCAAGUCGAACGAAACGUCCGGGUCUUGGGGCGCAUGGUGUUGUAACGCGUGGGAAGCUGCCCUUGUGUUCACCAUAACUCCCCGACAGGGAUCCUAAUACCGGAUAGUGUCUUCGGACCAAUGAUUUUUGGCCUCGGGGUGGGCCUGCGUUGGAUUAGGUCGUUGGGAGGGUAAAAGCCUACGAAGGCGUCGAUCAAGAGAUGGUCUGAGAGGAUGAUCAGCCACGCUGGGACUGAGACACGGCCUAGACUCCUACGGGAGGGAGGAGUGGCGAAUAUAGGACAAUGGGCGAAAGCAUGAACCAGCAAUGACGGGUAAGUGAUGAUGGGCGUAGAGUUCUAAUGCUCUUUUACCCGUGAUGAUAAUGACGGUACCGGGAGAAUAAGCCCCGGCUAACUACGUG